rnacentral:rRNA from 1 species
AGUGAACGCUGGCGGUAGGCCUAACACAUGCAAGUCGAACGGCAGCACAGUAAGAGCUUGCUCUUACGGGUGGCGAGUGGCGGACGGGUGAGGAAUACAUCGGAAUCUACUUUUUCGUGGGGGAUAACGUAGGGAAACUUACGCUAAUACCGCAUACGACCUACGGGUGAAAGCAGGGGAUCUUCGGACCUUGCGCGAUUGAAUGAGCAGAUGUCGGAUUAGCUAGUUGGCGGGGUAAAGGCCCACCAAGGCGACGAUCCGUAGCUGGUCUGAGAGGAUGAUCAGCCACACUGGAACUGAGACACGGUCCAGACCCCUACGGGAGGCAGCAGUGGGGAAUAUUGGACAAUGGGCGCAAGCCUGAUCCAGCCAUACCGCGUGGGUGAAGAAGGCCUUCGGGUUGUAAAGCCCUUUUGUUGGGAAAGAAAAGCAGCAGGUUAAUACCCCGCUGUUCUGACGGUACCCAAAGAAUAAGCACCGGCUAACUUCGUG